rnacentral:rRNA from 1 species
GACGAACCGUGCGAACGUUGUUCGGAUUCACUGGGCUUAAAGGGCGCGUAGGCGGCUUGCCAAGUCAGGGGUGAAAUCUUUCGGCUCAACCGGAAAACAGCCCCUGAUACUGGCGGGCUGGAGGGAGGUAGGGGCGGAUGGAACUUCCGGUGGAGCGGUGAAAUGCGUAGAUAUCGGAAGGAACGCCGGUGGCGAAAGCGAUCCGCUGGACCUCUUCUGACGCUGAUGCGCGAAAGCCAGGGGAGCAAACGGG